rnacentral:rRNA from 1 species
GAUGAACGCUGGCGGCGUGCCUAAUACAUGCAAGUCGAACGAACAGACGAGGAGCUUGCUCCUCUGACGUUAGCGGCGGGCGGGUGAGUAACGCGUGUAUCACCUACCUAUAAGACUGGGAUAACUUCGGGAAACGGGAUCUUAUCCCGUAGAAUAUCUUGAACCGCGGGGUUCAAUGGAGAAAGACGGUUGUGCUGUCUCGUCUAGAUGCAUCCGGGCCGCAUUAGCUGGUUGUGGCGGUAACGGCUUAUCACGGCGAGGAUGCGUAGCCGACGGGAUAGGGUGAUCGCCCACCCGGGAACGGGACCGGGGUCCAGACUCCUACGGGAGGCAGCAGAAGGGAACCGGCGGCAAUGGGGGAAAGCCUGACGGAGCAAGGCGGCGCGAGUGAUGAAGGUCUCGGGAGCGUAAAACUGUGCUAUGAGGGAAGAACAAAUGUGUAAGGAACCAUGCACGGAUUGACGGUACUGAAUCAGAAAGCCACGGCUAACUACGUG